GCGGCUUUCUCGGGCAAAGGCCGAGAGCCGGACGACACAUUGGCAGCCCCAGCGAAAAUCUGCCAGCCCGGGGGGCCCAGAGUCUUUCUCUGCAAGGGGAGUUCCCUCCCGAAGGUUUUGGCGCGGCCUUUGCACCCAGGAAUCUCCACCGCUGGAGCCCCUGGAACCGGAGUCGACAGCCUGAGCCCAGAGAGUCCCUUUGACCAAUCCACCGUGGCCCCGGAAGACUGAAGGCUCGGAGGCCUCCGGUGUUUGCUCCUCUAGGGGAUCCCGCCCAGGGAUGAUGCACCCACCAGAGAGGCAGAUCCUUUUGAGGAGAAUGAGGGCGUGGCUACAACUCUGCUCUCGCUCCAGUACUUUCUGGGAAAAGGCAAAAACGGGUCCCUUACUGGAAGGAGCUGGUCCAACGUCCUCACUUCACGGAGAAGGAAAAGCUCAUCCCCGGAGGAAGGGUUUUGCCCCCAGCUCCUGCAACCAGUUAAAUAAUUAUGGAGUCCCCUUUCCUUGGACCCCAUUUUGGCCGAGGAUCCGUAGACUACCGAAGGAGGAGGCAGAGGGAGCAACAGAAGCAGGCGGCGCAAUGGCGAAAGGUCGCAGGCAGCCAGGAGCCCGCAUACACAGACAGUCACGAAGGGCCUCGCUCACGGACGCGCUCCGGCAGACACGCCCAAACUCCACCGGCUCCCACUCCAUUCUUCUCGCAGUUGGGCUAGGUGGACCGACAGACGUCCACCAGGAUAUCUGGUGGCCUGCGGGGAUUCCUCCUCUGAGACACCCGGACUACGUGAGCGACUCUGAGUGAAAAUGAGUCCGUUGGCCCGGGCCUCUCCUCCCGCCUUCUCCCGGCUCCUGCGUUCAGAAUGGGAGAAACAGCGCGGUGGCUGCUGUCCGGAGCAGGCCGGGCUGGGCUGGAGGACAGGUGUCCAUGUGUGCUUCGCCAAGCCCCGCCACAGUGUGAGCCCCCGGGCACUGCAGCUGCGGGCUGCUAUAAGACGGAGCAGGAAGGGUAUGCCUGCUCCCGGCUGAGAAGGCUUCCCAGCGUCCCAGCUCCCCUCUGCGCGCCCACCCCCGGCACAGUCCUGAUGGGAGCCGAUGAGCCUGAGCUCGGGCCAGCGGCUUGCUUCCGGCAAGGAUGGAAUCCUUUCUAUUCCUUAUUUUGAUGAACGCCUUGCAAUUGUCGGGAAAGGGGCUGCGUGAGGUGGUGGUAGAGGCCUGACACAUACCCCUGCCUGCCCACUCGGCAGUGUCCCGCGCCCUUGGCCUGGGCCUCAGGCUCCUUAGGGACUGUAGAGCUGGGUGUCUGCGCUUCUGUGUGUGUGCCUGGAUCUGGCUCUCUGGCGCUCUCUGUCUCAGUCUAGCUCUUUCUCCCUCAGCCGUUCUCUUGGGCUCUGUGUCUCUGAUCGAGUACGUUGGACUCCUUUUCUUUAGGAAAAUUGUAUGAUUCUCCGUCCUCGCUGCUCAAACUUGAUCUAGUUCCCUGGAAUGUGUGUAUGGGUACCAGGGCCCCUUGGGAAUUUGGUGAGAGCCCGCUCAGGGGUUCUCCUGGCCACCCCCCCAAUAAAUUCCCCUUUUUCCCAACCUAGCCA
ensembl:lncRNA